GAUCCUGGCUCAGGAUGAACGCUGGCGGCGUGCCUAACACAUGCAAGUCGAACGAAGCACCUUACCGGAUUCUUCGGAUGAAAGUUUGGUGACUGAGUGGCGGACGGGUGAGUAACGCGUGGGUAACCUGCCCUGUACAGGGGGAUAACAGCUGGAAACGGCUGCUAAUACCGCGUAAGCGCACGAGGAGACAUCUCCUUGUGUGAAAAACUCCGGUGGUACAGGAUGGGCCCGCGUCUGAUUAG
rnacentral:rRNA from 1 species